AGGAAAGAGACCUGGCCCACGAGCACACGCAACUAGGUCCAAGUGUCCUGCAAAGGAAGAAAGCAGACACACAGGCACGCGCGGCCAGAGACCAGAUGUCUUGAAAAGGGAGCGACUAAGCUAGCUUUGGGUACACUGGGCCAGCUCAAAACCGGCUGGCCGGUACGACCCAGGCACGCGUGAUAAAGGAUUUAGAGGCCAGGCCGGCGCAACCUUCCCCACAAACUCGGUCUCCCGCCCACCACCGCUGCCUGCCACCAGGGGGCACUCCCCGACCCAAGCAACGGAGAGUCACAGCUCAGAUCAGACAGGCCUGCACCUGGGCUCUUGCACCAGAGUUCGGAAACUGCCAAGUGACUCUGCUGGAGUUGGACAUGAAUAUAAUCCAGUACGUGGAGGCAGAAAGAGGAAGGAAGAUCAAGAGUUCAAGGAGGCUUGAGAGUGGGGGCAGAAGAAGAGAGAAGAGGCAAGAGAGGAGGAGAGAAGACAGAAGAGGAGGAAGCCUCCAUGGACCUGAACCACAUGGCCAGGAGAAACAAGUCACACAUGUAUGAAGAAGUACGAAGACUCCACGCACCGUUGCUUCUGCAGCCAUUUGCCAUAGAACCUAACAUAUUCCCAAAUCCCAACUUACUACUGCUAAG
rnacentral:lncRNA from 1 species